GGUGAUUUAGGCAUGUGUCUUUCUGUUUUGUGGUGACUUUGGCUUUCUGGUGAUUAUUCUUCCUCUGGCAUGUUUUGUUGGUCCUUUGAGGUUGUGCUUGAUCGCGCUCCUUUGUGUUCGGGGAUUGCUUUGUUUUUAUUUUUUACCAUUUUCUAACUUCUGCUUAUACUAGCCAAAAUACUCUAUUGGAAUGUGAAGUAAGUUAGUCUUCGUUCUUGAUCUUCUUUCAUCGCCAAACAUUUAUUGAGUUAGUGUUGCUAU
rnacentral:lncRNA from 1 species